GUACACAAAAAUGCACAUAUUGUGAGCUCGAUGAGUAGGGCGGGACACGUGGUAUCCUGUCUGAAUAUGGGGGGACCAUCCUCCAAGGCUAAAUACUCCUGACUGACCGAUAGUGAACCAGUACCGUGAGGGAAAGGCGAAAAGAACCCCGGCGAGGGGAGUGAAAAAGAACCUGAAACCGUGUACGUACAAGCAGUGGGAGCCUCUUAAUGGGGUGACUGCGUACCUUUUGUAUAAUGGGUCAGCGACUUAUAUUCUGUAGCAAGGUUAACCGAAUAGGGGAGCCGAAGGGAAACCGAGUCUUAACUGGGCGUUAAGUUGCAGGGUAUAGACCCGAAACCCGGUGAUCUAGCCAUGGGCAGGUUGAAGGUUGGGUAACACUAACUGGAGGACCGAACCGACUAAUGUUGAAAAAUUAGCGGAUGACUUGUGGCUGGGGGUGAAAGGCCAAUCAAACCGGGAGAUAGCUGGUUCUCCCCGAAAGCUAUUUAGGUAGCGCCUCGUGAAUUCAUCUCCGGGGGUAGAGCACUGUUUCGGCAAGGGGGUCAUCCCGACUUACCAACCCGAUGCAAACUGCGAAUACCGGAGAAUGUUAUCACGGGAGACACACGGCGGGUGCUAACGUCCGUCGUGAAGAGGGAAACAACCCAGACCGCCAGCUAAGGUCCCAAAGUCAUGGUUAAGUGGGAAACGAUGUGGGAAGGCCCAGACAGCCAGGAUGUUGGCUUAGAAGCAGCCAUCAUUUAAAGAAAGCGUAAUAGCUCACUGGUCGAGUCGGCCUGCGCGGAAGAUGUAACGGGGCUAAACCAUGCACCGAAGCUGCGGCAGCGACACUAUGUGUUGUUGGGUAGGGGAGCGUUCUGUAAGCCUGUGAAGGUGGCCUGUGAGGGUUGCUGGAGGUAUCAGAAGUGCGAAUGCUGACAUAAGUAACGAUAAAGCGGGUGAAAAGCCCGCUCGCCGGAAGACCAAGGGUUCCUGUCCAACGUUAAUCGGGGCAGGGUGAGUCGACCCCUAAGGCGAGGCCGAAAGGCGUAGUCGAUGGGAAACAGGUUAAUAUUCCUGUACUUGGUGUUACU
rnacentral:rRNA from 1 species